AUUGAACGCUGGCGGCAGGCCUAACACAUGCAAGUCGAACGAGUGGCGGACGGGUGAGUAAUGUCUGGGAAACUGCCCGAUGGAGGGGGAUAACUACUGGAAACGGUAGCUAAUACCGCAUACCAUCGGAUGUGCCCAGAUGGGAUUAGCUUGUUGGUGGGGUAACGGCUCACCAAGGCGACGAUCCCUAGCUGGUCUGAGAGGAUGACGAGCCACACGGGAACUGAGACACGGUCCAGACUCCUACGGGAGGCAGCAGUGGGGAAUAUUGCACAAUGGGCGCAAGCCGGAUGCAGCCAGGCCGCGUGUAUGAAGAAGGCCUUAGGGUUGUAAAGUACUUUCAGCGGGGAGGCGUUACCCGCAGAAGAAGCACCGGCUAACUCCGUGCCAGCAGCCGCGGUAAUUC
rnacentral:rRNA from 1 species